ACUAGGGAUCGGGCGAUGUUAUCUUUUCUGACUCGCUCGGCACCUUACGAGAAAUCAAAGUUUAGGGUUCUGGGGGGAGUAUGGUCGCAAGGCUGAAACUUAAAGAAAUUGACGGAAGGGCACCACCAGGAGUGGAGCCUGCGGCUUAAUUUGACUCAACACGGGGAAACUCACCAGGUCCAGACACAAUAAGGAUUGACAGAUUGAGAGCUCUUUCUUGAUUUGUGG
rnacentral:rRNA from 1 species